UACGUAGGGAGCAAGCGUUGUCCGGAAUCAUUGGGCGUAAAGCGCGCGUAGGUGGCCUCGUAAGUCCGCUGUGAAAGUCAAAGGCUCAACCUUUGAAAGCCGGUGGAUACUGUGGGGCUAGAGUACGGAAGAGGCGAGUGGAAUUCCUGGUGUAGCGGGUGGAAAUGCGCAGAUAUCAGGAGGAACACCAAUAGCGAAGGCAGCUCGCUGGGACGUAACUGACACUGAGGCGCGAAAGCGUGGGGAGCGAACAGG
rnacentral:rRNA from 1 species